GACGAACGCUGGCGGCGUGCUUAACACAUGCAAGUCGAACGGCAAGGCCCUGCUUUUGUGGGGUGCUCGAGUGGCGAACGGGUGAGUAACACGUGAGUAACCUGCCCUUGACUUUGGGAUAACUUCAGGAAACUGGGGCUAAUACCGGAUAGGAGCUCCUGCUGCAUGGUGGGGGUUGGAACGUUUCGGCGGUUGGGGAUGGACUCGCGGCUUAUCAGCUUGUUGGUGGGGUAGUGGCUUACCAAGGCUUUGACGGGUAGCCGGCCUGAGAGGGUGACCGGCGACAAGGGGACUAAGGGACGGCCCAGACGCGUACAGGGGGCAGCAGUGGGGAAUAUUGCACAAUGGGCGGAAGCCUGAGGCAGCAACGCCGCGGGCGGGAUGACGGCCUGCGGGGUGUAAACCGCUGUCGCCUGUUACGAAGCGGGAGUGACGGUAAUGGGAAAAGAAGCACCGGCUAACUACGUG
rnacentral:rRNA from 1 species